rnacentral:misc_RNA from 1 species
GAUGAAGAACGUAGCGAAAUGCGAUAAGUAAUGUGAAUUGCAGAAUUCAGUGAAUCAUCGAAUCUUUGAACGCACCUUGCGCCCUUUGGCCAUUCCGAAGGGCAUGCCUGUUUGAGUAUCAUGAACACCUCAACUCUUUAUGGUUUUCCAUGAUGAGCUUGGACUCUGGGGGUUUUGCUGGCUCACAGUCGGCUCCUCUAAAAUGAAUCAGCUUACCAGUGUUUGGUGGGUAUCAUGGGUGUGAUAACUAUCUACGCUUGUGGUUUUUCCACCUGGUAACCUUCAGCAGUGGAGGUUCGCUGGAGCUCAUAGAUGUCUCUCCUCAGUGAGGACAGCCCUUUGAAUGUUUGAUCUCAAAUCAGGUAGGACUACCCGCUGAACUUAAGCAUAUCAAUAAGCGGAGGA